GUACCUGCAAGCUCAGGCACCGGGAUUGCCUCCUGAACUACCUUCGUGACCACAAUGGCGCAUCUGCAUCUUUUUU
rnacentral:sRNA from 1 species